AUACGGAGGAUGCGAGCGUUAUCCGGAUUUAUUGGGCGUAAAGGGUGCGUAGGCGGCCUUGUAAGUCAGAUGUGAAAGAUCAUGGCUUAACUGUGGUAAGCAUUUGAAACUGCAGGGCUUGAGUACAGGAGAGGAGAGUGGAAUUCCUAGUGUAGCGGUGAAAUGCGUAGAUAUUAGGAGGAAUACCAGUGGCGAAGGCGACUCUCUGGACUGAUACUGACGCUGAGGCACGAAAGCGUGGGGAGCAAACAGGAUUAGAUACCCUGGUAGUCCACGCUAUAAACGAUGAGUGCUAGGUGUCGGGGGUCAAACCUCGGUGCCGCAGUUAACACAUUAAGCACUCCGCCUGGGGAGUACGGCCGCAAGGCUGAAACUCAAAUGAAUUGACGGGG
rnacentral:rRNA from 1 species